rnacentral:piRNA from 1 species
CUCUAUCACACAUCUGCCAUGAC